CCUACGGGAGGCAGCAGUGGGGAAUUUUGGACAAUGGGCGAAAGCCUGAUCCAGCAAUGCCGCGUGAGUGAAGAAGGCCUUCGGGUUGUAAAGCUCUUUUGUCAGGGAAGAAACGGUGAGAGCUAAUAUCUUUUGCUAAUGACGGUACCUGAAGAAUAAGCACCGGCUAACUACGUGCCAGCAGCCGCGGUAAUACGUAGGGUGCAAGCGUUAAUCGGAAUUACUGGGCGUAAAGCGUGCGCAGGCGGUUUUGUAAGUCUGAUGUGAAAUCCCCGGGCUCAACCUGGGAAUUGCAUUGGAGACUGCAAGGCUAGAAUCUGGCAGAGGGGGGUAGAAUUCCACGUGUAGCAGUGAAAUGCGUAGAUAUGUGGAGGAACACCGAUGGCGAAGGCAGCCCCCUGGGUCAAGAUUGACGCUCAUGCACGAAAGCGUGGGGAGCAAACAAGGAUUAGAUACCCUGGUAGUCCACGCCCUAAACGAUGUCUACUAGUUGUCGGGUCUUAAUUGACUUGGUAACGCAGCUAACGCGUGAAGUAGACCGCCUGGGGAGUCGGUUGCAAGNUUAAAACGUUAAGAUUAGUUGGCGNGNGAGNGCGACGACGACGACGAGGAGGAGG
rnacentral:rRNA from 1 species